rnacentral:lncRNA from 1 species
GGAUUUGCAGAUAUAUUUCAUGGGUGUCACGCCCCAAGUGAGUCUUAGCCGUGACAAUCGCCACAUGCUUAUAAAUCUGAUUUAUAAGCAUGUUAGGCUAGUAAACAAAUUAUUUUCUAAUAUGCACAAGAGCCAACUUUAUUCAUUACUAGCUAUUACAAAGGUUAUGAUACAUGCAACUCCUUUAUUUAUUCCCAACCCGUAGAGCUACUCCUACUGUUCAUCAUUCUCAUCAGCACAUCCAUCAUUUGCUACUUCUGCAAAAUCAACAACAAUAGCAAGAAUGAGUAUGAUCUCAUACUCAGCAAGCACACGGAUACAAAGGAACUUCUCUCGGCAAAAGUGACAAAACACAAGGGUUGGUUGUAAAAAAAAGAGUUUGAUGGCACAGGAAGAUAAUGGAGAUUAAUUUAAAGAAAAGAAAAGAAAUAACUGGCAUCACAUAUGACCGCAAGCUUCCCAACCCGGGAGUCACAGGGGUGAAAAUUUCACACUUUUACGCUCUUAAGAGGGGUACUCUGACGUCGACAGCCUCGACUAGAACCACACAGGCGCUAGUAGAGCAGAGCUCUUUAUUCCCCCAAGAACCGACCACUCGACUUACUAGUGUCGAUCGCUCCUACGGAUCCAUCAUCGACACGCUUCCGAACGAGUGGCGUUCUUAGCGGAGAACUCAGACAGUCCCAUACCUGAACUGUGACCGGUACAAUACGUUUGCCGUCGUGAUACCAGAUUUUUAUAAAUUUACUAGACAAAGAUUAGCAAGAGGAAAUACAUGCAAGACCAAGAUAAAUAUCUCUAGGCUUUUCACAGAACCAACCAUCCAUGCAUGAGCCAUUAAUCCAUGUGCUCACAUGCAUGUACCAAUGAUUUCUCCACCGUGAUCAUAAACCAAAAAGGUAGUACUGUGGUAUGCAUGCUAGCUUCAAGAGAUGUACAGGAAUCAAAUCAUAUGAACAGUGCACAUUAUAGAGCUUGAGAAGUACUACUAGAUGUAGAGCAUGGCAUGAAUAGUGAGACAAACAAGGAAUAGAACAGCUAGAAAGGCUAGAUGGAACGCAUGCUUGCCUGACUCGCUGACUCGCUGCUUCCUCCGAGCGCUCUUGCCGAUCAGUGUGAUUCUACUCCAUGCAAAGCUAGCUAGUGAACUGGUUUGUAU